CAGGAGCUGUGAAGACAUGAGUCGCUUAACUCAAGUCGGCUGGGGAAGAGGCGGGGUACGUCCGGGGGAAGCGGGAGCUGAGCCGAGAACUGGAGUGAGCAGGAGGCAGCAAGAUGAUAAAGCGUGGGAGGAAGAGAAGAAUAUGACAACACAGAAAAGCCCGAGGGCAAGAGAGAGAAGAACAGGGCUGGGAAGCAGAAAUCGGGUUACUGUGGUUGCAACGCAGAGUCCAAAGGGGCAGGGCGGUGAGGGAUGAGAGGGAGAGGUGAGCCGGGGGCAGACAAAUGAUUUCACAAGUCAGGUUACAGGGCUGCAAUUGCUCCUGAGGAUUACAGGCAGCUACUGAACUCUUUAGAACUCUGUUCGAAACAGAGCAGGGACAUGAUCAAUCUGCUCUUCAGACAGAUAACUCGAACCCCUAUGAGGAAAAUCGGUUUGGUUGGGAACAAUAUGGGUGGCCAGAAGAGUUGGUGUCUGUAAAGAAGGCAAGAAAUAACAACGGGUGGAGAGACGUGAGAGACGGAGGAGGUAAAGUGUGUGACUGGUGGCAUAUGGGAGAUGAAGGAGAAGAGGGUUCAGGAUGACUCACAGUCGCUUAGAUGUGGGUGCCACUCAUUGGUUGGGGAGAGAGAAACAGAACAGGGUGAAGACAAUUAAUUGAACUUGAGAUACGUGGGAUCUGAGAUGCCCGGUCAGCUGUCUACAUGAUGUCAAAUGGGCCAGUGGAUAUGUGGAUCUGGGUGUCAGUUGUGAGUCAUCCAUGCUGGAGAUGGUCUCAGUUGAUGCCCUCAUGGGGUGAGAUGAUGCUUAGGGAGAGGGUACUGAGAGAGGACCUCUAGGGUAAUUCCUGGAGAGACAACCAGAGACAAAGAACCCCCGGGGAGACUCAGAAGUCAUGGGAAGAACGGGGAAAGGAAAAUCAACCAGAUAAAUAGAGGCAGCCAUCAUGUUGUGUGAUGCUAAGAAACGAGAAAGCUGAAGCCUGAGAAGCAUCCUUUACAUGCAGCACCACUACUCCUGUUUUCGGAAACCAGGAGCAACACAAGAUGGUCACUGGUUGCUGAAUGAAAUAAAUCAUCUGUCUCAUUAGUCCGGACAAGCACGAAGAAAGAGCAGCGUCGUCUGACAUCCACAGUGUGAGAAGCAGCCUCAGACAGCAGCAUUAAAUGGCAUCUUAGUAUACCUACUUAGUACAUUUAGGACACGCUAUGCAGAGAGAGACUGCAGAGGUUCCAAAGCUCUACUUUGGAAGUGACUUACAAACACACAGCAAAACAAUCAAGAUGAAAGAAACCCCAAGAAAUCAGUUCUCUUUUAAAUUGAAAACAAGCAGGAAAUGGCACUGAUGGAGCUAAAGCUGGGCUUAAUGGUUUACAGUGGAAGAUGGCACCCACUGACCCUCAGGGUCACCUCCUCACAAUGUCCUCAGGCCGGCUGACGGCAGCCCACCCCUCUGCUCCUUCCAUGACUUGACCUGUAACAGGAAAAGAAACCUGACCCUCCUUCUUAUCCACCAUCCCACCCCACUCAGGAUACUUCUUCCCACCCUCAGCUUCCUUCCCUCCCACCGAAUCUCUACAUUUUAAUUUCUUCUCAUACAAAUGAAAGAGUAGGCUCCAACCCACAAGUGCCAUCUGUGGCCUGGAAAAGCAGAAGAACAGAACCGGAAAAGCCCCUGGGGUGCAGACUGGCCCGGCAACAUGUUCCGCUCCCGCAUCGAUCAGGUUCAUUGUCUCAAAUGUAACACAGAAUUAGACUCACCAUUUUAAGAUACGUAAGAACAUGUUCGUGGAUUCGGGGUCUGAGCCAAGCUCAUCUCUGAUUCUAAAGCUGACCUUGAAUUCUCUCCUGUUUCGUUGUGGACGUAUGUGUGGAUGCUCAACAUCUUAUGUUGGAUACCACAGAGGUCAGUCAAUGGAGCAGGAUGCAUAAACUUUGAAAAUUACUACAAUGAAACACUACAAAAAUUACAAGCCAGAACUACAAGAUUUCCUCAUGUUUUCAUCACCUACCGAUUUGUUUAUUGGUCUUUCAAAGCAUUUGCCCGAUCUGGAGGACCAUAUUGUGAAUAUAAGGGUACCAUUCGCUUACCCGUAAGAGGCAUUAUUUUGAUGUGUUGCCGGGGGCUACUCAUCAACAGUCAUCAGUGGCACAAUAUAAUUUUCAAAAAUCACCCUGAGUACUUGCUUGAGAAAUGUAUUUAAAAUGUGAAAGUAGUUAUGGACCUCACUGGGGCCAGACAUGGGGGAAAAAAUGUUGCAGAUUUAGGGGUGGGGAGGGGAAAUAAUGUCUUGAAGAGAAAACUGCUCAUGUAUAUAUAUUUUAUUUUUUUAUCACUACUAAAGAUUCUUUUGCUGCAACAAAUCUGUGAACUACAUUAUCAGUAUACAUUAACGUAUCUAAAUUUUUAUAAUUCUACACUCUGGAACAGAAAUUAGCACUGGAAAAGAUAUUGCUGACACUGUGCAUUUUGUCUACACUAGGGAAUCCUGCAAGCUACUUAACUAUAACAUUUGUGGUUUUCUCGUCCUGUCUCCUAAUGUUGAAUUCUUUACAAGACUUUUCCAUCACAAAUAGCAUUUAACACCAAGAAGUCCUUCGCACUCCAGUGACUUAGAAACACGAUUUCCAUCAGUCACUACUCUGUGGCUGGCAGCAGUCAAACAAGGCUUGAAAUUUCAUUUAGAGAGCGGCCCUCCUCAGCUCUCCACUCCAGGCUGGGUUUUCUGUCAUCCUCCCUUCCGGCACUGUGUUCAUCUCCCCUCGUUAGGGAGCAAGAGAGGAGUCCCCAGCACUUGCAGGUCUGAGAUGUUCUCCCCCUUCUGCAGAUCUAAGUUUAGAUGUCACCUCCCCAGAGCUGCCCUUUCUCGUGGCCCCAUCAAAUUAGGUCUCUGCAGGGAAAGAGCAUCCGUGGUAGAGAGGCGGCUCAAGAAUGCCCGGGCUGUGGCUUUGCCGUGUCCCCUGAUGGGGACGUGGCCUCGUUGAUGCUGAAUUGGUUCCACGCUUGCCAACAUUUCCUUAAAGAGAAGCUCAGAGAAGCCAGAGGUAAGGGGGUUGGUGACGUAAGCAGCACGCGUAACAGGACAGUUCCAAUGUGGCAAAGUGUUCUCUUUUGCUCCAUCCUGGAAGGACCUUACUUGCACAGAGGGAGUCACCGGCAGCUGCAAACCACACAGGAGAACCAGAGGACCAGGAAACGCCAGACAGUGGCUACUUCGGCUCAGGGGAGCUCCUUGCUGCUGUUACAUUUUGUGUCCUCAGUCAAAAAUAAAUGGGGACACUGCAGUGCGGCUUCUGCCUGCUAAUCCACGACACCUGAAGAGCCGCAGUCUCUCCCGCUCCUCUCACUCAUAACAUCCGGCAUUUCCCUUCAUAGUGCUAAACUCCCAAUCUUCAUACCUUCUUCUCUGUCCCUCACACACGUGUCAUAUUAUACAAUCAUACACUGAGAUCAUAUGAAGUUACGGACCUGAAUAAUCACCUAUUUUCUGUG